UGAGUAACCUGCCCUUAACUCUGGGAUAAGCCUGGGGAAACUGGGUCUAAUACCGGAUAUGACUCCUCAUCGCAUGGGUGGGGGGUGGAAAGCUUUAUUGUGGUUUUGGAUGGACUCGCGGCCUAUCAGCUUGUUGGUGAGGUAAUGGCUCACCAAGGCGACGACGGGUAGCCGGCCUGAGGAGGGUGACCGGCCACACUGGGACUGCGACACGGCCCAGACCUCCGACGGGGAGCAG
rnacentral:rRNA from 1 species